rnacentral:rRNA from 1 species
UAGACCAAAACCAAUCGUUUCCUUCGGGUGACGCUUGAUUGAUGAUUCUGAAUAACUUUGAGCGGAUCGUACGGCCUUGCGCUGACGACGUAUCCUUCAAAUGUCUGCCUUAUCAACUUGUUGGUUGUUUAAUGGACAACCAAGGUGGUAACGGGUGACGGAGAAUCAGGGUUCGAUACCGGAGAGGGAGCACGAGAAACGGCUACCACAUCUAAGGAAGGCAGCAGGCACGUAAAUUACCCACUCCCAGCUCGGGGAGGUAGUGACGAAAAAUAACAAUACGAGACUCAUCCGAGGCUUCGUAAUUGGAAUGAGUACACUUCAAAUCCUUUAACGAGGAUCUAUUGGAGGGCAAGUCUGGUGCCAGCAGCCGCGGUAAUUCCAGCUCCAAUAGCGUAUAUUAAAGUUGCUGCGUUUAAAAAGCUCGUAGUUGGAUCUCAGUCUCGAUCGAGCGGUCCGUCUUCCGACGGUACUGCGCGAAUCGGACAUUCCGCCGCAUUUCCCCGCAUGCCCUUAACUGAGUGUGCGGGUAGAGUGGUACGUUUACUUUGAAAAAAUUAGAGUGCUCAAAGCAGG